AGUGAACGCUGGCGGUAGGCCUAACACAUGCAAGUCGAACGGCAGCACAGUAAGAGCUUGCUCUUACGGGUGGCGAGUGGCGGACGGGUGAGGAAUAUAUCGGAAUCUACUUUUUCGUGGGGGGUAACGUAGGGAAACUUACGCUAAUACCGCAUACGACCUACGGGUGAAAGCAGGGGAUCUUCGGACCUUGCGCGAUUGAAUGAGCCGAUGUCGGAUUAGCUAGUUGGCGGGGUAAAGGCCCACCAAGGCGACGAUCCGUAGCUGGUUUGAGAGGAUGAUCAGCCACACUGGAACUGAGACACGGUCCAGACUCCUACGGGAGGCAGCAGUGGGGAAUAUUGGACAAUGGGCGCAAGCCUGAUCCAGCCAUACCGCGUGGGUGAAGAAGGCCUUCGGGUUGUAAAGCCCUUUUGUUGGGAAAGAAAAGCAGCAGGUUAAUACCCCGCUGUUCUGACGGUACCCAAAGAAUAAGCACCGGCUAACUUCGUG
rnacentral:rRNA from 1 species